rnacentral:sRNA from 1 species
AUUCUUUCACAUCUCUAAAUAGUUGAAAAACUACCCAAACACUAGCAACAAGAUUUAGCCAGAUGAACCUCUUGCUUCCCUCUUAUGAACUUAUUAAAGGUGCGUUGGAUCGUUGUGUGAUGGGGAUAACAGCAGUUGAGAUUCUAAACGCUUGUGAUGAAGCUGUUCCUGCUGCUGUUGAUUCACUUAGUCACCCAGCAGUCAACCUAAAACAAGCUAUGACGAGACGUAGUCUUGCUGCUCUUAAAAAUAUGGCCCAUCAUAAGCUACAAACCCUUGCAACUAACCUCUUGGCUUCUGAGGCAUCUGACAAGGGAAAUUUACCUAAAUAUUCUCAUAACUCCCUGAUGGUUCAAGCAAUAAAGACAAACCUAACAGACCCGGACAUACAUGUGCUAUUCUUUGAUGUGGAAGCGUUGAUUAUUCAACUCCUGACUGAAGAAGCCUCUAGGCCGAAUACUGCUCUUAUUUCCCCAGAGAAUUUGCAAAAAGCAUCUGGCAGUUCAGACAAAGGGGGCUCUUUUUUAACUGGAAAACGAGCAGCAGUUCUCUUCCAACAAGUGAAAGAAACGAUCAAAGAGAACAUCAAG